GCACCUCAGCGCCCUCUGGAAAGCACCGUUCUAAACAUACCCUCUGUGAAUCACCCCACUGACGGAGGGCGUUUGCUGACCGCUGGUCUUGUGCAGUGCUACUGCUCUAACAGGAAAUUUUGCUUUUUGUUUACUCUUUAGAGAUAGCGUUCAUCGAAGAGACUCUACUCAAAAUACCUAAGGCUGAAUUAGAGGACAUAGCUGGGUUUUGUUUUUGUUUUGUUUUUUUCUUAUUAGAACAGUAAGGAAUUGUACUGUGUUCCUGGCCCCUCUCACUUAGAGGAACAAGGAUUACACAGAAAUUUGAAAUUUCAACAAAAAGAACUUAGGAUUCCUGGGAUUCCCACAUCAAAGAAAAGCUGCAAGCUUUCAGAAAGAGUUUUCCUUGGAUGAUAAAGAAGAACCUGCCAACCACCGGAGAGGCCUUGAUGCCAAGUGCUUAGCUGCACUCCCUAAAGUUGCAGAAUUAAGAAAAAUCUUCGAACCAAAGAGAAAAGACUUUUUAGAAAUGAAAAG
rnacentral:lncRNA from 1 species